CCGCCAGCCGCGUCCGCAGUGACAGCUUGGUUUCGUCCGGAGCCGCGGGACAGAAAGCAGGUCAUCCCAAUGCCUAAGGCCCAGUGGCUACAGGGGAUCCUCUAAUGACUCCUGGACCCAUGUAAGGUCUGGCUGUGGGGAUCCCGGGCUGUGGCAGGAGUUCGCACCAUGUCCCGGAGGCCACAUCUGUCACCCUGCAGCCCCCGCUGCUGCGUCUCAAGGCCCGCUGUCUCGGCCACGUUCAUGCCAGGAGGGAUGAUGUGGGUCCUGUCUGUGCAGGGGACCUGGGGAAACAUCGCAGACUCACCACUAACAGAAACAAAAAUUCCCUAUCUCAUUUACUCUUCACUCAGACCCCUUGUAAGGACCUCUCCAUCCCCAUUUUGUACGUGAGGACAUUGAGAUUUAGAGAGAUUACAUAGCUUGAAAGUGAUUACAACCAUUAAAAGAUGUCUCAGGACGCAAUCACGGUGCCUCCUGUCCUGGUGACGGUGGAAAUGGCAAAAGCGCCCCCUUUAAAAAGACAUGAGUUUCCUACAUUUUCUAGUUGCUCCUGAGUAGCAAGGGGGUAGAAACCUCGAGGAGGUGCAAGGUAGUGGAUGGAAGCAGAGUGGCUCCGGGUGCGCCAGGUGGAUGGGAGUUGCCAUCAGUCCUCACGGCAUCCCUGGGAGGCAUCGGCAUCUUCCCCAUUCGCUCACAAGGGGCUGAGGCUUCUGCUCUGCAUGGGCCUUAGGCAGCAUCGGCAGGAAAUGGAGUUGCUGGAAGGGGAGACCUGCCCACUAUCAUCAGCUGCCCCUGAACUCUCCCUCUCCUGGGAUAUGCCCCAAGCUGCACUGUGUGCCUAUUAUUUACUUAAUGCUCAUGGCAGCCUGCCUACGUGGUGUGUCACUGUGCAUUUACAGUCACCUAGUGUCAGAGCUUUGAGACUGCCGCAUGAAAUGCAGUCUCUUUACUUUUCCAUCCUUGCAUCAUUUCCAAGGUUUGGUCAUUUUGAGAACAGUCAGGCAGGGGACACAUUGUCCAUUUUCACAGUAUUUCAGUUCUGGGUCUGAAAGACCUAGAUUAGAGGAGGAAAAAAAGUCAUAUAAAAUGCAGAGAAGAUUAAAGUUCUCUGUUUUUGUAAAAAAGAAAAAAUGGAGAAAAGCUUAUUUCUCAUUUGAUUCAACUAGCCUAGGUAACAAGCAACACCUCAGGUCACUUCUUAACAUCACUCCACAUGACUGCAGACAGCCUCCCCGAUGUUACCAUUUGAGGCUGA